rnacentral:rRNA from 1 species
CAGCCGCCACGGUAAUACGUAGGUCCCGAGCGUUGUCCGGAUUUAUUGGGCGUAAAGCGAGCGCAGGCGGUUAGAUAAGUCUGAAGUUAAAGGCUGUGGCUUAACCAUAGUACGCUUUGGAAACUGUUUAACUUGAGUGCAAGAGGGGAGAGUGGAAUUCCAUGUGUAGCGGUGAAAUGCGUAGAUAUAUGGAGGAACACCGGUGGCGAAAGCGGCUCUCUGGCUUGUAACUGACGCUGAGGCCCGAAAGCGUGGGGAGCAAACAGGAUUAGAUACCCGCGUAGUCCCUGUCUCUUAUACC